UAGGGAAUCUUCGGCAAUGGACGAAAGUCUGACCGAGCAACGCCGCGUGAGUGAAGAAGGUUUUCGGAUCGUAAAACUCUGUUGUUAGAGAAGAACAAGGACGUUAGUAACUGAACGUCCCCUGACGGUAUCUAACCAGAAAGCCACGGCUAACUACGUGCCAGCAGCCGCGGUAAUACGUAGGUGGCAAGCGUUGUCCGGAUUUAUUGGGCGUAAAGCGAGCGCAGGCGGUUUCUUAAGUCUGAUGUGAAAGCCCCCGGCUCAACCGGGGAGGGUCAUUGGAAACUGGGAGACUUGAGUGCAGAAGAGGAGAGGGGAAUUCCAUGUAUAGCGGUGAAGUGCGUAGAUAUAUGGAGGAACACCAGUGGCGAAGGCGGCUCUCUGGUCUGUAACUGACGCUGAGGCUCGAAAGCGUGGGGAGCAAACAGG
rnacentral:rRNA from 1 species